rnacentral:rRNA from 1 species
CACGUAGGGCGCGAGCGUUGUCCGGAAUUAUUGGGCGUAAAGAGCUCGUAGGCGGCCUGUUGCGUCCGCUGUGAAAGCCCGGGGCUUAACCCCGGGUCUGCAUUCGAUACGGGCAGGCUAGAGUUCGGUAGGGGAGAUCGGAAUUCCUGGUGUAGCGGUGAAAUGCGCAGAUAUCAGGAGGAACACCGGUGGCGAAGGCGGAUCUCUGGGCCGAUACUGACGCUGAGGAGCGAAAGCGUGGGGAGCGAACAGG